AAUAAUAUAACUUAAUUAGUAAUUAGUGUCAAUAUGUAAGAAUGUAAUAAAUUUUUAGGGGAAAUUUAUUAGGUGAAAUUUUAAAUUUUUGAAUAAAUUUAUAAUGGCUUAUUAUUUGAGAAAUUUUUUUAAUAAACUAGGAUUAGAUACCCUAUUAUUAGAAAUGUAAAAUUGUACUAGAUUAGUAGUAGUUAUUUUCUUGAAAAUUAAAGAAUUUGGCGGUUUUUUAGUCUAUUCAGAGGAACCUGUUCUAUAAAUGAUAGUCCACGAGUUAAAAGUCUUUUUUUAUAAGUUUAUAUAUCGUCGUAGUUUGAAUAUUUUAGAAGGAUUUUAAUGUUCAAUAAGUAUGUUUUAAUUUAAAUCAGAUCAAGGUAUAGUUGAUAAAAAAGAAGUAAUGGGUUACAUUAAAAAAAAUUGAGGAUUAUUUUUUGAAAGAAAUUAUGAAUUUGGAUUUGAAAGUAAUGUUAUUUAAAUAAAUAAAAUGAUUAAAGCUCUAAAAUAUGCACAUAUCGCCCGUCGCUUUCAUUUUAAAAUGAAAUAAGUCGUAACAGAGUAGAUUUACUGGAAAGUGUAUCUGGAAAGAUCAAGUAAGAGCUUGAUUAAAGCGUUUUACUUACACUAAAAAGUUAAUUGUUAAAUUCAAUUUUACUUGAAAAAGGGGAUUAUUUAAGUAAAAUAAAAUUAAUUAGUUAAUAGAAAAAAGUAAUUUUUUUUUAGUAGUGGGAAAAGAAAAAUAUAUUAGUAAUUAUAGUAUAUAAGUAUUGUGAAAGAAUUUUUUUAUUUUUAAAUAAGAAAAAUUUUAUUUU
rnacentral:rRNA from 1 species